UGCCGCCGUAGCUCAGAGGUCAGAACACCCGGCUUUUAACCGGGGGGCCAGUUCAGGUUUACUUAGGUUCGAAUCCUAGCGGCGGUAU
rnacentral:tRNA from 1 species